UACGUAGGGUGCGAGCGUUGUCCGGAAUUAUUGGGCGUAAAGAGCUCGUAGGCGGCUUGUCGCGUCGUCUGUGAAAUCCCGCGGCUCAACCGCGGGUCUGCAGUCGAUACGGGCAGGCUAGAGUUCGGUAGGGGAGACUGGAAUUCCUGGUGUAGCGGUGAAAUGCGUAGAUAUCGGGAGGAACACCAGUGGCGAAGGCGACUACCUGGCCUGUUCUUGACGCUGAGGCGCGAAAGCUAGGGGAGCAAACGGG
rnacentral:rRNA from 1 species